AGAUUGCGAUUUCCACUAGAGGCCUAAGAAGUUAACGUAUGUUGCGCCCACUUCGACCCCUCCUCGGCGGCCUGAGUCUUGGUUGUUAGAUCCAGCCAAUAGGUCCUGAAAGCCACGAACGUGACCGCAACCUCUGUUGCUUUCGUAUAUAUAUGAUACAUGUAUUUUAUUAUACUAGUAUAAUAUAUUAUACAUACUGCAUAUAUAAUAUUAUGUGUCAUUGUCACUAACUAAAAAUAUAAGACUUGUCUUUUUUUUUUAUGUUGUGUAGUGUCUUUACAUAUUUUGUAUAUCUUUAUGCACAGAAAGCCUUUUAAACUAGAGGGACCGCUGUUACUUUCUUAAACCAGAGGAAGGUUGCGGCAAUAACAGGUCUGUGAUGCCCUUAGAUGUUCCGGGCUGCACACGUGCUACAAUGAUUAUUGCAGUGAGCAUCUCAUUUUAUUAUUCACACCGCAUGCGCGAGACCAUUUAUUCUCUCUUCGCGAGUGUUUUAAAUGUGUAUCUCUGCGCGCGGUAAAGCCUACUUCGAAAGUAAGCGGGUAAUCAAUUAGAAGUAAUGAUUUCCUAUAUUUUAUUGUAUCAUUUUUUUGGUAUAGUAAUUCUGCACACAUAUAUACGGCAUCUUUACCCGGGUAGCCUUGUUGUUACUUUUUGUGCGUAUCGAUGUUUUUUUCCGUAUGUGCGAUUGUCAAUUCAUGGUGGGGACAGACCAUUGUUAAUUGUUGGUCUCGGUCUUAACUAGGAAUGCCUUGUACGGGUCUUUGGUUCAACAAACCACCCGGAAUACGUCCCUGCCCUUUGUACACACCGCCCGUCGCUCUUACCGAUGGACUUCUCUGUGAGUUUGAGGGACUGGGAACGCAUGUAAUAAAUUUUAUUUAUUUAUGCACACCUGGGAAAUCUAGUACGGAGACACCUGCAGAAGGAUCAUAAGCGCACCACACGACGUUCC
rnacentral:rRNA from 1 species